UGAGAGCUGACGACAAAGUCGGUGGA
rnacentral:sRNA from 1 species